rnacentral:lncRNA from 1 species
GGCCUGCCGCUAAAUAUCUUAACAACUAACUGCGGGGAGAAAAGAUUCCUGAUAGCUUUUGCCAGUACCUGUGGUGUAAAUAUCCCCGCGGUGGCGGCGAUCAAGUUGCCCAAGGAGCAUCACUGGACCCCGAAUGGGAGGAGAGACAGGCCGUUCUGCCGCCUGCACGCUGGGAGAACCUGCUCCGGCGACCCCUGGAGGCGACUCAGCAGGCCUCUGUGUACUUGCUCCCUCCACGACCAGCCACCUGAGUCCUUGGGUCUAAGACAUGGUAAAAAGUCUAAAACUGGCUUCCCGGAGGCUGGAGGGAAAGAGGGCUAUGGUGCCAACACCAGAUCUCCAACAAAGCCGGGGUCCUGGUAGGAAAGAGGAGAGCUGCACAGAUGCACACGGCCAGGGUCAGCCUUAGAGGCACAGGCAGAGGCGCCUAGGAGCCGAGGUACUCCGUGCUUUUGUACACCGGGAACAGAAGACCUCAAACUCAGAGCCAUAUCACUAGAUAAGAAAAUACAUUGUCAUAUAAGAUGAAUUCCCUCCAGAGAGGGACGGUGAGCUCCUAUACUGGCUCAGUGAUGUCACCAAGGACCCAGGUUCUUUUAUCUUUCGCUGCUACCCUGCAUAUGCUGAUUUUAUCCUCAGGAUCGCUCCCUCAUAGUUACAGAAGGGGUGCCCCAGAUCCGGGCACUUCAUCCAGACACCACAGUCCAGUGGGAGAGGGGCAUCCUCCUCCUGGGUGCCUCUGAGUGAGAAGCCUUUCCCAUCAGUCUCCUCCUUUCAUCCCGCGCCCAGGCGCAUCACCGGCGGGGGAGAGGGCUCACCAGUACUAACUCAUGCCAGGCGGGAUUCUCCCCCGGGGCCGGGGCCAGCUGCUCUGAAGCACGGGCCCUGGAGGAAGCAGAACCCCUGGAAGACAAGCAGACGUCCGUCAGGAGCACGAGGGUCAGUGCUGGGUAGGCAGCCAACGACUUCUGUUCCACCAGGCGUCCGCCAGUUCCAGAGGAUAAUGGGUGCCACCAGAGCUGCACGUAAGUUGACCAGGGACGAGCUACACCUGGGAGACCAAAUCUAAGAGCUGCUUAUUUCAGAUGGUGCCUUGUGUUUGAGGGGAAUCAGCAUUCCAGUCAGGCUCCUAAUCAAAAGCCCUUCACUAUCACUUCUGCUCCAGCACACCCCACGCCCGCUUCCAAAGCAAAACCCCUCCUGCGGCCGGCAAAGCCCUGAUGAUCUGGUCUGUGCUUCGUAGGCUCCUCUGGAAUUCCUGUCCCCUUUUCUGCGUUGACAGUGUUCCUCUCUGCCUUGGAGCCUUUGCACAUGCUGCUCUCCCUCAGCAUCCCCUCUCCCAUCCCCUACCUCCUUCACCUUACUCUUAGGUUAGGUCAUUCCUCUUCUGCAGAUUCCCUUGGCUCCCUACACAUCUCUUUGGUGCCCAUAGGAACGUGUCCAAGUACACGGCUAGACGGCACGCUCCUUGUGGCCCAAGAAGCUGUCUCUUUUAUCAUACACCAUGCUCUCCUCCCAACACAGUGCUUGGCACACAGCAGGCAUUUGAUAAAUAUCUGUUGAAUGCAUGAACAAGACUCCCAACGAAGGAUGGUUUUAACCUUUGGAUAAGGUGGAUGAGGAGUCUGGCCUCCCAGAAGCCCCUGAUGGUUUCUGAGCCCAGAAACAGCAUGAUCACCAUGGGCUCAGGGGCAGAGAGAACACCAGUGUCCACAGGAGGGGUAAGGGGCCAGCAAUUACAAAGACAAGACCGCUUGGAUGGGUGAGGGUCGGGGCUACAGCUCUGAAUGGUGGUGCCGAGAUGGUGCAAAAGAAGGAGGGAAGUUCUGUCUCCUGCACAGGUUGUUAGCAAGAGCGAACGGGAUGCGGUGCCUCAAGAACAACGUCUGGGGCCGAGGGUCCUUAGGAAGGAACUGAGACGAGAGUCUGCACCAGCUUCUAGAAUAAUGUACUGUCCCUGGUCCCCAUCCCAACCCAAUCCUGAAUCAGUCCGCGUUCCCUUCCUCACCCCGGGAGACUGCGGCAGGUGCCUCAGGGCUCUGCUCUCCACCAUGCUUAACCUUCCCGAGCAAUCUGGUUCUUCCAGCUCAGUGGCACUAAUCAUGCCCUCUCACCUAGCUGGCACGAGGGGCAAAUAAGACAACACAUUGUACGAAGCUUUAGAAACUGUGGAGGUCUGUGGCCACGUAAGGAAUUCCUGUCCUUAGUAUUGUUUGGAGUUGGGCUCAUUCCUGGACCUGGCAUCUGCCCUGACAUUCCCCGUUCCCGUGUCUUGCUCAGUCUCCCUUUUCUCAUGGUCAGCCACGAUGCCGGCACUGACGGUAUAAGGCUAUAUAUAAGAAGACACCCAGGGAGAUCGAGUGUAGAAGGAAAAAGAAGGAACGUGGCAACCACCAGCUGCCUCCUCUCUUGUUCCUUGACUCACGGAUGACCUCACCACCCUUCCCGGUCAGCCAGGUCCCAAGCUGGGCAUCAUCUGUGUGUUAGUUAGCUGCUGCUGUGUAACAGACCACCCCUGGGCUAACGGGCUGAAGACAGCAGGUGAUGGUCAUCUCCCAGGGCUCCGAGGGUUCCCUCCGAUAGGUAGUUCUAAUCCGUAGACUCUCAGAGGAUUGCAGCCAGAGGGCCGCAGGGGCUGGAGUCCUCCCGAGGCCUGACCGGGCUGGACAUCCAAGGCCGCUUCCUGCACUCACAGGUCUGGUGCCUGCGUUGCAGUGGCUGGAAUAGCUGCGCAGCCAUGUCUCUCUCUCUCUCCGUGCCACCUCUGCACGUCUACCGUGCGCUUUCUCGCAGCAGAGUGGUCUUGGUUUCGAUUUUUCUCCUCACUGCUGGCUCCUCCCAGAAGGACAUGCUGAAGGACCAAGGCCGGGGCGGUAGGGGUGCGCGCGUGAGAUUUAUGGCUGCUUCUGAUCAAGCCCUAGCGGUCAGGAGGCGUGGCUUUGGUUGCGUUUUAUUGGCUGCAGGGCCAGUCCAGAGUGCGUGUGGGAGGGGCGAAGCCAGCGCUGGAUGCGGGGGGCGUGGCUUGAGGGGCAAGUUGCCGUCUUUGGAGCCUGCCCCGGGAGAGCCUGGUCCGGACUGGAGUCUUGCUCCGUGGAGCCCGCUCCCAAGGCUGAGCUUGGGCGCAGGGACGAGGGAGGCAGCAGCGAAGGAAGGAAACUGAGCAGCUAGGACCCGUGGCCCCCACCUUUAGUACUUCAUAUUUACUUAUUUACUGUUUUAGACUUUUGCAAACAGUUAAAUGUAAAUGAAAAAUUCUGAGGCGCACUUGCCAAAAAAGAGACACAGAUGGUCGAUAAGCGAAUGGAAGUACACUGAGCAGCAUCGGUCACUGCGGAAAAGUGCAGGAUGAAGCCACGACGUGGGGUUACCGCUCGGCCCUUGGGAUGACCUAAGUAAGAACAGUGCAUGCAUUCUUGAACCUGGUAGUGUCAGGUGUUCUCAAGCAUGGGACCAACUGGAAUUCACACACAUUGCUGGCGAAAGAGCAAAAUGGUGCAAAUACUUUUGAAAACAGUUUGGUAGUUUCUCAUGAAGUCAAGACGAUGCCAUGAAUCCAGCAAUUUCACUCUCAACUGAAAUUACCCUCGAGAAAGGAAAAGGCACAUCCACACAAAGACCUGUACAUGAAUUUUCCCAGGGGCUUUAUUCAUAAUUUUCCCAGAAGCCCAAAGCAAGGGGGAAAAACCCAAACUCAGGUGUCCAUCUAUGAGGGAUUGAAUAAACUAACUGUAGUACGUCUGUACGAUGGCUGUGAUGAGACAGAGUGAACUGUUGAUACACACAGCUUGAGGGAGGAAUCUCAGAAGUAUUAUGCUGAGUAAGAGAAAACAGCCAAAGAGGCUAAUGCUGUGUGAUUCCACUGUGAUUCUCUGGAAAUGCAAAACGGUAGUGACAGAAAGAUCAGUGGCUGCCAGUGGCUGAUGGGGGAGGAAAGGGGUUGAGUACAAAGGGGCACCAGGGAACUUUGUUGGGGUGACAAAAUGUUAUGGGGUUUUUUUUGUUGUUUUUUUGUUUUGGCUGCGCCUGCAACUUGCAAAAAUGCCCCAGCCAGGGAUCGAAACUUCACCACAGCAGUGACGACGUCAGAUCCUUAACCCACGAGCCACUGGGGAUUUCCCAGAAGUGUUCUGAGACUUGAUUGUGGAGGUAGUUGUCCAACUGCACAUGUUUGUCAAAAUUCAUCAAGUUGGAGUUACCGUCGCGGCGCAGUGGUUAACGAAUCCGACUAGGAACCAUGAGGUUGCGGGUUCGGUCCCUGCCCUUGCUCAGUGGGNCGUUGCUGUGGCUCUGGCGUAGGCCGGUGGCUACAGCUCCGAUUCAACCCCUAGCCUGGGAACCUCCAUAUGCCGCGGGAGCGGCCCAAGAAAUAGCAACAACAACAACAACAAAACAACAACAACAAAAAAAAGACAAAAAAAAAAAAAUUCAUCAAGUUGCAAACCUAAAACGUAUGAAUUUUCCUGAACAUAAAUGAGGCAGAAACCUGAGGCUAGAGUUGGAAAAUACAGAGACUCCCCUCUCUCCUGUGUGUCCCCUCUUGCCCAGUCGUCCCCAAGCUCUCCCCCGAGCCUGUCUCCAGUCCCGGUGCGCCUGUGCACUCCACCCCCGCCAGACCCUCCGCCUCCGUGACUCUUGGUGAACAGGCUUUUCCCUCCUCAAGGCCUAGAUGGCUCUUUAUCCUCAGGCUUCCCGCCGAAUUUCACGUUCCCAGAGAGGGCUCUUCUUCCUGUCCCGGCUAAAGGAGGCAUCCUUUGCCUCUGCCGAUGAGGCACGUGCUCUUCCUUCUUUACUGGAAGGAUGCUCUGUGAGGACAAAGACAGUGUUUCGUGCAUCUUUGAUGCAUGCGUGGCACUUAGUUUUUGUCAAGAAGCGAUGAGCAUGGGGAGGCUGUCCCCAUCUUCUUCCAGAGUUCUCUAUUGCACAAAGUGGCUUUUCCAAUAGAAUGCCCCCCGUUUCAUUUUCAUGUAUUUUUAGACUACUCGUUUUGAAUCGAAAUCAUGCGGAAGUACGUAGACUGAAAGGUGGGAGCCUUUCCACACACAGAGCUUUUAAACGUAUAAAUAAGAUUCUGCUUUUUCCUGUUGGUGCAGAGAAAUCGCCCGUAUUCUUUUUAGUAGUUAUAUAAUAUUCUGCAGUAUGGCUAUACCAUUUUAAGCAUUAAUCAUGAACGAGCAUUUAGGAAUUUCCCCUCCCCUCUUUAUGGCUCCAUGACUUCUGAUUUCAAAUGCUGCCUUAUCCAUAGGCGCAUGCGUGUUCGAUGUUGCUGAAGGAUGGAUUCCUAGAAAUUUGGGAUGUUAGGAAAGAGGGUGCAUGCACUUCAGAUGUGGCGAGUCUCUACUCUGUCCGAAGAGAGGCGCACGGAUCGGUGGAAUAGGUGCCGUUACCCCGGUCUGUGAGGAGCCCACGUGUCCACACCCUCAACCACUCGGGGCGGGUCAGCCUUUUGGUUUCCACCAGUCAGGUGAUGACAGGUAUGGAAAGUCAUCCUGGCUUAUACUCGGGGUCACUUGAAUUCGGCGUUAACUAAAGCAGCCUGACGUUGCACAUCGGGUGUAACUGCCAAAGAGGAGCACACGUGACCAGAGUGAAGCAUGUCCGUGGGAAAAAGAAAGACGAAAAGCCUCCCUUCCGGAGGGGCCAGUGCUGGGCCUCGUUCGAUGAUAACUCUCCCUUGCAGGUGCCCAGGCCACACUGACUCUCUGUGCACGUGCUCGUCUGUUUUCUCUCUCUCUCUCUGUGUGUGUGUUUAAACCUGGAAGGAGUGUGUACCUGACUUGUUUAAUGUUCUUUGUUCUGACAAGAUGUAAAACUGUGCUGAAAACUAUGCUUCUCCAGAGCGGGUUUCUCAGAGUAAUUUGAGACGCUGGCUGUAGUUCUCAGUUUGACUCAAACCAAACGCUUUUCUAUCCUUAUUACUGAUUGUUUUCGUCGACACCGGUUAACGUGCCGACUCAUCACUUAAAUCUACGUUUCUGGCGUCAUUGCUGAGAUUGUACAUAUUUUCGUGUGAUCGUUAGCUUGUGCUGUGAGUUCCUGGUUUUAUCCUUUGCCCCCUUUUUUAGGGCAAAGGGCAUGUUUUUGUCCUAUUAACUUGUGGGAACUCCUUGUGUCUGUAUGAUAUGGAAAUAAUCCGUUUGGAGAGUUAUAAAUAACGUUUGAGGGUGAUGGAUGUGUUCACUCGUGAUUGUGGUGGUGGUUUCGCAGGUGUAUACCUCUGUCAAAACUCAUCAAAUUGUACACUCUAAAUACGUGCGGUUUAUUGUAUGUCAAUCAUAUCUCAAUAAAGCUGUUCAAAAAAGGU